GAUCAUGGCUCAGGAUGAACGCUGGCGGCGUGCUUAACACAUGCAAGUCGAACGGAGCGCUUAUGACGGAGUUUUCGGACAACUGAUUAAGUUGCUUAGUGGCGGACGGGUGAGUAACGCGUGAGCAACCUGCCUUACAGAGGGGGACAACAUUGGGAAACCGAUGCUAAUACCGCAUAACAUAUAUUUAAGGCAUCUUAGAUAUAUCAAAGGAGCAAUCCGCUGUAAGAUGGGCUCGCGUCCGAUUAGAUAGUUGGUGAGGUAACGGCUCACCAAGUCGACGAUCGGUAGCCGGACUGAGAGGUUGAACGGCCACAUUGGGACUGAGACACGGCCCAGACUCCUACGGGAGGCAGCAGUGGGGAAUAUUGCACAAUGGGGGAAACCCUGAUGCAGCAACGCCGCGUGAAGGAUGAAGGUUUUCGGAUCGUAAACUUCUAUCAACAGGGAAGGAAACAAAUGACGGUACCUGAAUAAGAAGCCCCGGCUAACUACGUG
rnacentral:rRNA from 1 species